rnacentral:rRNA from 1 species
CCUACGGUGUGCAGCAGUGGGGGAUAUUGCACAAUGGGGGGAACCCUGAUGCAGCGACGCCGCGUGGGUGAAGAAGCGCCUCGGCGCGUAAAGCCCUGUCAGCAGGGAAGAAAAUGACGGUACCUGAAGAAGAAGCCCCGGCUAACUACGUGCCACCAGCCGCGGUAAUACGUAGGGGGCAAGCGUUAUCCGGAUUUACUGGGUGUAAAGGGGGCGCAGACGGCGAUGCAAGCCAGGAGUGAAAGCCCGGGGCCCAACCCCGGGACUGCUCUUGAAACUGCGUGGCUGGAGUGCAGGAGGGGCAGGCGGAAUUCCUGGUGUAGCGGUGAAAUGCGUAGAUAUCACGAAGAACUCCGAUUGCGAAGGCAGCUCACUGGACUGCAACUGACACGGAGGCUCGAAAGUGUGGGUAUCAAACAGGAUUAGAUACCCGGGUAGUC